GGGGGCGACUGGUUUCGACAGGGUAGUUCUGAGAUGGGCAGCAGGCCGUGGUCUCCUCGCCACGUAAAACAGGGGUACCGUCAAAUUGAAUUGACGACAACGUUUAUUCUUUUGAGCCUUCCAUGGCUCUCGCCGCUUAAUUUAAGCCUGGCGCGUCAAUCCGGGGAGUGCUCCCGACCCCGGUGCGACGUCAUCUAGGGAGACGCUCGUGCGCACGUGACUGGUAUGGCGCACGCUAAGACCGAACCAGCUGGGACGCGCGAUGCUUGUCGCUGGACAGCGCGCGUCCGAGAUUGACCAGCGACUGAGCCUGGAGACACCUGUCAGGGGAUUGCUUUGGACCGGAGUUCGAUUCUCCGCGCCUCCACCA
rnacentral:tmRNA from 1 species